rnacentral:lncRNA from 1 species
GUCAAAGUGGAAUUUGUCCAUGUCGUUUAUUUAAGGUUUUACAAGGCCCUGCAAAGAGUCCUCCCCUGAGUCUGGACAAGAAGAGGGUUUAGUAACAACGUGGUGAGACCUAUGAGGAAACCAAGCAACUGGCCUUGAUGCUCCAAAAAUGUCAGGUCUUGGGAAUUCCCUGGCGGGCCAGUGGUUCAGACUCUGGGCUUCCACAGCAGGGGCCAUGGGUUCCAUCCCUGGUCAGGGAACUAUAAUUCCCCCAUGCCUCGUGGGGCAGCCAAAAAAAAAAAAAAAAAAGUAAGGUCCUAAAAGACACAGGAGGGCUGAGGGUCUGCCCUGAUUAAAGAGGAUUGUCCUACUGAAUAGCACAGGAAACUCUGCUCAGUGUUAUGUGCCAGGCUGGGUGGCAGGAGGGUUUGGAAGAGAAUGGAUUCAUGUAUAUGUAAGACUGAGUCUUUUGCUGUCCACCUGUAACUAUCACACAUUUUUAAUCAGCUAUUUUCCAAUAUAAAAUAAAAAGUUAAAAAAUAAAAAAAUUUUAAAAGUGUGUAUUUUGCUCUCCGCACCCGCUUGCGCCCAGACCCCAUCGGCUGGGCCUUCUGGGUCGGCGGUGCGGGUGUAUCGGGCUCAUUGCAUGGAACGAAGGCUAGUGAAGGCCCUGUGGCGGCCUCCAUGCCCAAGACCUCCAGGCCUAGAGAGGUGGAGCUUCGAGAGGCUGAAGAGAGAUUCUCCCAGCAGAGCCGCUGGGCUGCGGGGAUUCCCUUCCUAACAGGGCGGGCAGGAUGUGGGGCCAUGUUGAAGCUGGAAUGACCUCAGAGGCUAAGGAGAAAGCACUGCCUUCUGAAGACUCUGUCCUUCUUCAGGAAGAGGAGGAAAUGCCCAGAUUACAGGAGACACAGCUUCGACCCCUCGUCUGGGAAGAUCCUACGUGCGGCGGAGCAACCAAGGCUGUGCACCACAACUAUUGAGCCUGUGCUCUAGAGCCUGGGAACUGCAACUAUUGCACCUACUAAAGCCCAUGAGCCCUAGAGCCUGUGCUCUGCAACAAGAGAAGCCUCUACAGUGAGAAGUCUGCGCACUGCAACUAGACAAGAGCCUACGUGCAGCAACGAAGACCCAGCACAGCCAAAACUAAAUACAAUUAUAUUAAAAAAUAAUAAUAAUAAAAUAAAAGUGUGUAUUUUACUGCUGAAAGAA